rnacentral:rRNA from 1 species
AGAGUUUGAUCCUGGCUCAGGGUGAACGCUGGCGGCGUGCCUAACACAUGCAAGUCGAGCGGGCCGGGGCUUCGGCCCCGGCUAGCGGCGAACGGCUGAGUAACACGUGGGUAACCUGCCCCCAAGUGGGGGAUAACCCUGGGAAACCGGGGCUAAUACCGCAUGUGGUUGCCGGGCGGAUGCUCGGCAACUAAAGGGCCCGCAAGGGCUCGCUUGGGGAGGGGCCCGCGGCCUAUCAGGUAGUUGGUGGGGUAACGGCCCACCAAGCCGAUGACGGGUAGCUGGCCUGAGAGGGUGGUCAGCCAGACCGGGACUGAGACACGGCCCGGACUCCUACGGGAGGCAGCAGUGGGGGAUCUUGGGCAAUGGGCGAAAGCCUGACCCAGCGACGCCGCGUGGAGGAAGAAGCCCUUCGGGGUGUAAACUCCUUUUGCCGGGGAAGAAACCUGACGGUACCCGGCGAAUAAGGGCCUGCUAACUACGUGCCAGCAGCCGCGGUAAUACGUAGGGCCCGAGCGUUACCCGGAUUUACUGGGCGUAAAGGGUCCGCAGGCGGCCCGGCAAGUCGGGCGUGAAAUUCCUCGGCUUAACCGAGGAGCUGCGUCCGAUACUACCGGGCUCGAGGACGGGAGAGGGAGGUGGAAUUCCCGGAGUAGCGGUGAAAUGCGUAGAUACCGGGAGGAACACCGGUGGCGAAGGCGGCCUCCUGGCCCGUUCCUGACGCUCAGGGACGAAAGCUGGGGGAGCGAACCGGAUUAGAUACCCCGGUAGUCCACGCCCUAAACGGUGGGUGCUAGGUGUGGGCAGGUAUCGACCCUGUCCGCGCCGAAGGUAACCCGUUAAGCACCCCGCCUGGGGACUACGGCCGCAAGGCUAAAACUCAAAGGAAUUGACGGGGGCCCGCACAAGCGGCGGAACGUGUGGUUUAAUUCGAUGCUAACCG